GUGAGGAAUUUUCCGCAAUGGGCGAAAGCCUGACGGAGCAAUGCCGCGUGAAGGAUGAAGGCCUAUGGGUUGUAAACUUCUUUUCUCAGAAAAGAAUUAUGACGGUAUCUGAGGAAUAAGCAUCGGCUAACUCUGUGCCAGCAGCCGCGGUAAGACAGAGGAUGCAAGCGUUAUCCGGAAUGAUUGGACGUAAAGCGUCUGUAGGUUGUUUAAAAAGUAUUCUGUCAAAGAUUAGGGCUUAACCCUAGAUAGGCAGAAUAAACUUUUAAGCUAGAGUUUGGUAGAGGCAGAGGGAAUUCCCGGUGGAGCGGUGAAAUGCGUAGAUAUCGGGAGGAACACCAAAGGCGAAGGCACUCUGCUGGGCCAAUACUAACACUGAGAGACGAAAGCGAGGGGAGCAAAUGGGAUUAGAAACCCCUGUAGUCC
rnacentral:rRNA from 1 species